UAGGGAAUCUUCGGCAAUGGACGAAAGUCUGACCGAGCAACGCCGCGUGAGUGAAGAAGGUUUUCGGAUCGUAAAACUCUGUUGUUAGAGAAGAACAAGGACGUUAGUAACUGAACGUCCCCUGACGGUAUCUAACCAGAAAGCCACGGCUAACUACGUGCCAGCAGCCGCGGUAAUACGUAGGUGGCAAGCGUUGUCCGGAUUUAUUGGGCGUAAAGCGAGCGCAGGCGGUUUCUUAAGUCUGAUGUGAAAGCCCCCGGCUCAACCGGGGAGGGUCAUUGGAAACUGGGAGACUUGAGUGCAGAAGAGGAGAGUGGAAUUCCAUGGGUAGCGGUGAAAUGCGUAGAUAUAUGGAGGAACACCAGUGGCGAAGGCGGCUCGCUGGUCUGUAACUGACGCUGAGGCUCGAAAGCGUGGGGAGCAAACAGG
rnacentral:rRNA from 1 species